CAGAAAUGAAGUUGGACAUGCUUUCGUCACCAGAUCUCUCCAAGGCAACGCCAUCAGAAUCUCAUGCAGCCAUCCAACCAAAUUCUUCCGACAGGCCACAUUAUAUUUUGUUGACAAAUCCUCAGGGAACCAAGUCUGAUAUUGUUCAUCCAAGUCCCUUCAGUCGGGCCAGGAAUAUGUCCAUGUCAACCAGACAAUCUCCAGCUGACAUGACUCAUGUUGAACCUGAAGCAACUGUACCAAAAGUUGCUCCCAAACCAGCCUUCAGACCACUCCCAAAACCAGUUAUUCAACACAAAACAACUCCGGAAAGUAAACCGAUUGAAUCUGAGAAAUAUCUCAUCUUUGAGGACAUCCUGUUU